rnacentral:RNase_P_RNA from 1 species
GAAGCUGACCAGACAGUCGCCGCUUCGUCGUCGUCCUCCUUCGGGGGGAGACGGGCGGAGGGGAGGAAAGUCCGGGCUCCAUAGGGCAAGGUGCCAGGUAACGCCGGGGGGGUGUCACAGCCCACGACCAGGGCAACAGAGAGCAAACCGCCGAUGGCCCGCGCAAGCGGGAUCAGGUAAGGGUGAAAGGGUGCGGUAAGAGCGCACCGCGCGGCUGGUAACAGUCCGCGGCACGGUAAACUCCACCCGGAGCAAGGCCAAAUAGGGGUUCAUAAGGUACGGCCCGUACUGAACCCGGGUAGGCUGCUUGAGCCAGUGAGCGAUUGCUGGCCUAGAUGAAUGACUGUCCACGACAGAACCCGGCUUAUCGGUCAGUUUCACCU